rnacentral:rRNA from 1 species
GACGAACGCUGGCGGCGUGCCUAAUACAUGCAAGUCGAGCGAAGUUUUUCUGGUGCUUGCACUAGAAAAACUUAGCGGCGAACGGGUGAGUAACACGUAAAGAACCUGCCUCAUAGACUGGGACAACUAUUGGAAACGAUAGCUAAUACCGGAUAACAGCAUUAACUGUAUGGUUGAUGUUUAAAAGUUGGUUUUGCUAACACUAUGAGAUGGCUUUGCGGUGCAUUAGCUAGUUGGUGGGGUAAAGGCCUACCAAGGCGACGAUGCAUAGCCGACCUGAGAGGGUGAUCGGCCACACUGGGACUGAGACACGGCCCAGACUCCUACGGGAGGCAGCAGUAGGGAAUCUUCCGCAAUGGGCGAAAGCCUGACGGAGCAACGCCGCGUGAGUGAAGAAGGAUUUCGGUUCGUAAAGCUCUGUUGUUAGGGAAGAAUGAUUGUGUAGUAACUAUACACA